rnacentral:snoRNA from 1 species
UGCAAAUGAUGUGACAUGUUUUUUUAAUCUGAUCAGUUAUGCUGACUAUUUCCCACCAAGAUCACUGAUGCA